CGUGCUCCACACUCUGGUGUUAACUAUGUGGAGAUAAUGCCCUGAAAUAAAAAUUCUAGAGCUUGCUGGGUUCCUUCAGAUCAUUGUCACAUUGAACAGAAGGAUAUGACAGAGAAUACAGAAUAAAACUGGAUGUAAAUGGACCCACAUCCUAUGUCUAGUCUAAUGUUUGUUCUCAAGAGCACCAUUGUCUUUUCUAGCCUUCAGAGGAGAACAUGACUUAGAAUGGUCAGAGUAAGGAGUGGAUUUCUCGUCACACAGUGGGGAGGCACAAUUCCACAAGGACCAGUAUGCAGCCUUAGGCAGCUGCGGACCCCUCCAAGUCUCAGUUUCCUUGUUUUUCUAGUGAGACUGACAGCAGUCACCUACCAACUGUUUUGAUGAUUGGAUGAAAUAACGUAGGUACUGUCCUUGGCACAGGGCCUGGCCUUAGAGGAUGCUCCGUGAUCAAGAGUGGUUAUGAGGUACAAACAUGUUGCCCAGAUCUGCUCCCAUUUCAGCUUCAGAGAGGGUCCCAGCAGGCAACUGAUACAGCAAUCCAUGGGCUGUGGAGCAUUCUAGUGAAGUUGAGAAAGAUUGGAGAGCAAAUCCAUUAUGUCUCUGGAGAGCAUGCUGGAAAGGGCUUCCAAACUCCCCGAGUGAGGUAACGGGCAUCAGCCUGGGGGACUGCCUUGUUACAGGGCCCAAACUUAAUUGCCUUCCUUUCAGACACUGUUUUUGCAUUUUGCUUUGGCUGAGACCAGAAAAGACUUAUUUACAAGAUACAGCUGGGAUGGCUGGACGUGUGGAAGAUCCUUCAGCAGUCGGGGCAGUGGCUGCACAUGAGCAGACAGGGAUGCUCUGCCCUGCCCUCUGGCUCCAUGCAUCCUGGAUCGGCAAUAGCAAACUACAGUGUUUCAAUUCAUAGUUUGAAUUAGCAAAUAAGUAUUAGGUUUCCUUAUAGCAUUCUCAAACUAAAAAUGUUUUAGUUGAUUCUUCUCCCUGCACCUCAGCUCUGCCAGGCCCUGGCUGGCCUCAUAUUCUCUUUCCCUAGUCAUCACCCCGCCUCCAUGUCAUACAUGUCUCUUUGCCCUGCUCUCCCAUUUGUAGUUAUACACACAUACAUAUAUAUGUACGUAUAUAUAAUGAUGUAUAUAUAAUCUAACUUAAUAAAAUACU